rnacentral:rRNA from 1 species
UUUCGCAAUGCCCGAAAGGGUGACGAAGCGACGCCGCGUGCGGGAAGAAGGCCUUCGGGUUGUAAACCGCUGUCGGGAGUUAAGAAAUGUAAGGAUGUUAAUAGCAUCUUUGCUUGACUAAGGCUCCGGAGGAAGCCACGGCUAACUCUGUGCCAGCAGCCGCGGUAAUACAGAGGCGGCAAGCGUUGUUCGGAAUUAUUGGGCGUAAAGAGCACGUAGGCGGCUAUGUAAGUCGGUUGUGAAAGCCUUCCGCUCAACGGGAGAACAGCAUCCGAUACUGCAUGGCUUGAGUGCGGGAGGGGAGAGUGGAACUUCUGGUGGAGCGGUGAAAUGCGUAGAUAUCGGAAGGAACGCCGGCGGCGAAAGCGGCUCUCUGGCCCAUAACUGACGCUGAGUGUGCGAAAGCUAGGGGAGCAAACGGGAUUAGAUACCCCGGUAGUCCUAGCCGUAAACGAUGGGCACUAAGUAGAGGGGUUUUAUCUC